rnacentral:misc_RNA from 1 species
AAGUCGUAACAAGGUUUUCGUAGGUGAACCUGCGAAAGGAUCAUUAACGAGUUAGGGUCCUCUAGGCCCGACCUCCCAACCCUUUGCUUACCGAACCUCUGUUGCUUCGGCGGGUGGCCCGGGGCAACCCAGGCCGCGCCGGCCCCUCCUUCAGGGGCCGGCAAACCCGUCAGAGGACCGAAACUCUUCGUCAUCAGUGGCCUCUCUGAGUAACUUAUACAAUAAGUCAAAACUUUCAACAACGGAUCUCUUGGUUCUG